rnacentral:lncRNA from 1 species
GGAUACCUCCGGAAUUAACAUGGGCUUUGGUUGAUUUGAAUAGGUCCAGCUGGCCCAGAUGGACACCAAGGCCCAAGAGGUGAACAAGGUCUGACAGGGAUGCCUGGAAUCCGUGGACCACCAGGACCCACAGGAGAAGGAGGAAAGCCAGGCCUCACAGGACCCCAAGGACCUCCAGGACUUCCUGGGAACCCAGGCCGACCAGGGGCUAAAGGUUAGUGAAUCUCCAAAUUAAAUAUUCAUUCUCUGCCUCUUGGGGUUGUCAAGGUUUUGCCCGGUCUUUCUCUCUCAUCAGGACCUGGAGCAACAGUGACACCUAGUGUCUAUAAGAAGAAGCUUUUCCUUCUCAGCCCAUCCUUUCCCUGCUCUGCAUGGUGCCAACACCAUAGACAUAGAUGUAUACAGAUAUAUAGAUAUAUACACACACAGACAUAAGACUAAGAUUCCUAUUGCACAGUUCAGCAAGACGGGAGCUUUCUCAAACUCCCUGCACUGACCUAGGACAGCACCAUGGAAACCAUAUCCUCAUGAAUCCAACCCAGAGCAUUCUUUCUGACCCUAAGUGAAAAGUGCCCCUCUCUCUAAGCAGCCCACGUUUUCACUGCAUCCCCUGUCUCAAGCCUCUUCCAUCUCCUAUGCAGACAGUCAGGCAACAAGCAUUUGUUAAGUGCUCCCUCUGAGCCAGGAAUUGGGCUAAGCUGAAAGUACCACCAAACAAACAAACAAAUAAACAAAAACCAGUCCUUUCCCUCA